rnacentral:rRNA from 1 species
ACCCGCUGAACUUAAGCAUAUCAAUAAGCGGAGGAAAAGAAACUAACAAGGAUUCCCCUAGUAACUGCGAGUGAAGCGGGAAAAGCUCAAAUUUAAAAUCUGGUGGUCUUAGGCCAUCCGAGUUGUAAUCUGGAGAAGUGUCUUCCGUGCUGGACCGUGUAAAAGUCUCUUGGAAUAGAGCAUCAUAGAGGGUGAGAAUCCCGUCUUUGACACGGACUGCCAGUGCUUUGUGAUGCACUUUCAAAGAGUCGCGUUGUUUGGGAAUGCAGCGCAAAAUGGGUGGUAUAUUCCAUCUAAAGCUAAAUAUUGGCGAGAGACCGAUAGCGAACAAGUACCGUGAGGGAAAGAUGAAAAGCACUUUGGAAAGAGAGUUAAACAGUACGUGAAAUUGUUGAAAGGGAAACACUUGAAGUCAGUCGCGUUUGCCGGAACUCAGCCUUGCUCUUUUGCUUGGUGUAUUUUCUGGUAGACGGGCCAGCAUCGAUUUUGGCCGUCGGAUAAGGCUCCAGGGAAUGUGGCACCUCCGGGUGUGUUAUAGCCCUGGUUCACAUACGACGGCUGGGAUCGAGGACCGCAGCACGCCUUUUUGGCCGGGGUUCGCCCACGUCCGUGCUUAGGAUGCUGGCAUAAUGGCUUUAAAUGACCCGUCUUGAAACACGG